UGCAACAGAGAGUAAUGUCCUAAGCCGAGCCUCACCCAUUUAUGGCGCAGUAACAUUUCACAGCACACUGCUCUCUUUGUCUGCAAAGAAGCCAUUUUGAGACAGAGAACAGAAGAGAAACACAGGGCAAGCAAAGCCUACUUACCAACUAAAAGGUUUCUUUGGAUAAAGGGAAGCAGUGAAAAAAAACACAAGAUUUAUCCCCUCAUGAUUCCUUUGCUCGUUUAAGACUUGGAUUACAUGUUUUGAAUAUCAACUUUUUAUGAGGUAUCACAGCAAGAAAUGUCGAAAUGGACGAGGUUAUACUCGACUGCAAUCCUGUCUUGAAGAAGAGAGAAGAGAUGGUUUGCAUAUUUGCCCACACAGAUGAUGCUUGAAGAUGCAUAUUCGCUGGCUGAGAGGGAGACGCUUUCCCACCCCUUAUUAAAGCCAUUAUUAAAGGAUCCGGAGAUGGAGCUGAAAACAGUCCUUCCCCUGCGUUUAGGCCUGUUAACUGAAUCUGUGCUGAGGUAAAUAUUUUCACCAUGAAAGCUUUCCCUCCAUCUGUUUCCUCUAAGAUUUAUCUGGUUUUGUUUUACUUAAAUCGGUGUACACUAGUAUUUCCCCCUGUCCU